AUGCACGCUGGCGGCGUGCUUAACACAUGCCAGUCGAACGAGAAGUGAAGACGGAAACCUUCGGGCGGAAGGCUUUAUUUCGAGUGGCGGACGGGUGAGUAACGCGUGGGUAACCUGCCUCAUACAGGGGGAUAACAGUUGGAAACGACUGUUAAUACCGCAUAAGACCACAGCACCGCAUGGUGCGGGGGUAAAAACUCCGGUGGUAUGAGAUGGACCCGCGUUCGAUUAGCCAGUUGGCGGGGUAACGGCCCACCAAAGCGACGAUCGAUAGCCGAUCUGAGAGGAUGACCGGCCACAGUGGGACUGAGACACGGCCCAAACUCCUACGGGAGGCAGCAGUGGGGAAUAUUGCACAAUGGGGGAAACCCUGAUGCAGCGACGCCGCGUGAGUGAAGAAGUAUUUCGGUAUGUAAAGCUCUAUCAGCAGGGAAGAAAAUGACGGUACCUGAGUAAGAAGCCCCGGCUAACUACGUG
rnacentral:rRNA from 1 species